UACAGAGGUCUCAAGCGUUGUUCGGAUUCAUUGGGCGUAAAGGGCGCGUAGGCGGCUUUAUAAGUCGGGGGUGAAAGCCUGUGGCUCAACCACAGAAUUGCCUUCGAUACUGUAGAGCUUGAGACCGGAAGAGGUAAGUGGAACUGCGAGUGUAGAGGUGAAAUUCGUAGAUAUUCGCAAGAACACCAGUGGCGAAGGCGGCUUACUGGUCCGGUUCUGACGCUGAAGCGCGAAAGCGUGGGGAGCAAACAGG
rnacentral:rRNA from 1 species